UGGACUGGUCAUAGGGCCCAGGUCCACCCGAGGCGGGGGAAGUCCCC
rnacentral:ncRNA from 1 species